CCCUGCAUUCGAAAGUGACUGUGGGCUGCCUGUGCCCUGGUCAUUGAUAGUGCAGGGAGAGGAAUCGCCGAAAGCCUUUCCCCGUGUUUGGAGGGUCCAUCCUGUCCCUUGCAAACCCUGGCGCUUUCACACA
ensembl:snoRNA SNORA71 Small nucleolar RNA SNORA71